AUGGAUAAUAACAAGAAAAUUUGGAUGUCGAAGAUUCCACAAAAAAUUAAAAUCUUUAUGUGGUAUCUUCGAAGGAGAGUUGUGCUAACCAAAGACAAUCUCGCCCGUCGCAAUAAACAUGAAAGUAAGAAAUGUAGUUUUUGUACUUAUGACGAGACAAUCAAACGCCUCUUGUUUCAAUGCAAGUUUGUGCGUUCUACGUGGUCGGUCAUAUAG
rnacentral:rRNA from 1 species